rnacentral:lncRNA from 1 species
GCUAAAGAAUAGAUACAAGUCCAACAGAAAAGAUCCAACCCAAAAUCAAUAGAAAGAUCCGCCCAACCUUGAAACAAAACAAAUCAACCCAAAACCGGUUCAAACUAAAUAGGAAACUUGCAAAUCAACCCAUAACGCCAAGUGACAAUGAACAAAACACACCGCAUCGCGAACCAACACCCCCUUGCCAUAACCACAGCCGGAGAAAAUAGAGGAAGAAAGCAAUAGAAAUAGGAAAAAAACUCUAUGCAUGUCCCUAAAGAGUAUUCCACACAAAAGCACAAGGGCAAUAGCCAAGAUAAGAGCCCAGCACUAUAGCCGAAUCAACAACAAUAAUCGAACCAACAACAAACAACCAAGACCGACUUUCUGAGUCUGCCAGAGCAACUACUGCACCGAGAGAGGGGACGCGACAAAACUCGCUGGGAGUGUCUAUCACCGGAUGCAGCGACGUGGUCUCAAGAUGUAUGUUAGCACUCAGAGACCCCAGAGUAGAUUAGACACACCUAUAUACAGAACUCACAGAUCCAAAGCUACAGUUGACAAGAAACAACACAACAAACACACCAAUAAACUACGAAAAAACACUAGAAAAGAAAUGAAAAAACAAACUAAAACAAAGUAACAGCGAGACGAAAGGGAGACCUGAAGGCCGUUCCACCGUCGGCCAACAAAACCUAGGCAUCGUUCUCUCUUUCCCUUUCUCUUUCUUUUUU